GCUUCACCACGUGUCUGUGAUUGAUUUGAGAGAGGAUAUCAACCUCAUUUAUAAACUGUAUAAUCUGGCCUUUGUCCAUCAUUUUGGAUCUCUUAACGGCAACAAGUUUGCCACCGGAUAAGAUUCCCAUAAAAACUGUACCAAACCCUCCACGGCCAAGGAUUCGACUCUCAUUGAAGUUAUCGGUUGCCUUUUUUAGCUCUUUUAUAGUGAAAAUCUUGGCAGUAUCUUUGACUCCUUUAUACGAAGCUAUUUGUUGCUGCAAUAGCAUACCUCCAUUUUGUUGGAAGAAUUUUUCUCUAAGUUUGAUGAAUCGUCUUUUUUUAAUUGCCCAAUACAAAAUCCAAAUGAAUACAGGUAGAACAAAGCUGCAUACAAUGUCACAU